rnacentral:lncRNA from 1 species
ACGAUUUCAAGAAAUCUCAACAGAAGUAUCCUUUUCUUUUCGUUUUAUUUAAUUGGGAAGUUUUUUUUGUUGAAUAACCUAUCUCAACAAAUUCAGAGUAUCACAAAUACUUUGAAGUAUCACAACAAAUUUAGAGAAUUGAAGGUUUGAUACUUUCACCAUAAAUAGAGGAGGGCAAGAGAGGCAAAAGAAAGUAGAAGAGAAACACAUCAGACUUUAACUUCACCGGCACGCACUGUCAAAAACCCUUUCAUCACCGCACAGUCGCAACCCUUUCAUCACUACAUAACGUCAGUUUGAGCUUUUUUUGCGCCACCGUACCAAAGAUCCGUUGAAGCCGUACGAUACCUCUAAUUGAGUUGGACCUUUGAAUCCAAAAUGCUUAUGAUGUAAGUCUGUGUUUUGUGUCCCUAUGGCUAAAACGAUCCUUUGUCCCUAUGAUUUAUAUAUAUGAUUUUAUGAGCAUGACUUUGCCUAAGUUAAACUAGAAUGCAUGAAGUAUUUAUCAUUAAGACUAAAUAAAUUAUUGGUGGAUAUUAGAAAAAUGCCACCAAUAAGAGAUGCACAUAGGGGUGGUCUUAGAGGCCGAGUUAAAGGAGUAAGGCGUAACCAGCCUGCUGAGGGCCAAGCUGAACAAAACGUCCCUACUACACCUGUUACUCAUACAAAUCUAGUUGUAUCUGUUCACUUGAAGUAGAGAUUUAUAGAGCUUAUUGUUGCUACUAUGACUCAGAACCAACCACACGAACUAGUUGUACAGCAGCAACAAAACGUACUAGAUUAGCUCUCAGCUGAAUCUAAACAUUUGAGGGACUUUAGGAAAUAGGACCCUCAAACUUUUGAUGAUCACUAGAGCAUCAUGCCAAGGAAGAAUUGUGGUUGUCCUCUAUGAAAACCAUCUUUUGUUAUAUGAGGUGUCCAGAAGAUUAAAAGGUGUUAUAUGAGGUGUCCUGAAGAUUAAAAGGUUCAAUGUGUUGUUUUUCUUCUUAGAGGUAAAUGUAUCAUUUGGUGGCGAUCCGCAGAGUGAAUGUUGGUUGGUAAUUUGAAUCAGAUGAACUGGAACCAGUUCAAAGAGUGCUUUUACACUAAGUUCUUCUUUGCUAAUCUUAGAGAUCCUAAACUCUAGAAGUUCUUGAAUUGGAAGCAAGGACAGAUAAUGGUAUAAGAGUAUGAUAUAUUGUCAUGUUUUACCCCUGAGUUAUUGGAUACCGAGCAGGCUAGAGUAGAGAGAUUUGUUAAGAGUCUGAAGGAUGACAUUAGAGAUUUUGUGCAAGUAUUUAAGCCAUCUACUCAGGUUGAAGCAUUGCGCCGGGUAGUGGACAUGAGUAUUUAGAAAGAUGAGAUUCACCAAAGAGGUUUAAUAAGGGAACAUCAUCUGGAUAGAAGAGAAAAGCAAAUCAGAAGUUUGUUGAAGUUCCACAAAGGAACUUGAGAUCAGGCGAAGACUUUCUUCGUUUCCAACAGAACCCUAUCGAGGUAGGUAAAGUUGCUAGAGAGAAACUGUUGUGUAAUACUUGUGCAAAGAAUCAUUAGGGCCGCUGUUUGUUUGGAACCAGGAUUUGCUUCAAGUGUAAGCAAGAGGGGCAUACACCUGACUGUUGCCCUUUGAGACUUACUAGGGCUGGGCAUAGUAGUCAGGGGAUAAGAGGACCACAACAGGACAAAGUCUUAUUCACCAACGGAUCUGAGGCUGAGAGGGCUAGCACAGUCGUGAUCGGUAUGCUACCAGUGUUAUGGAAUUAUGUCUUAGCCCUGUUUAACUAUGGUUAAUCUCACUCAUUCAUAUCUUUGAUAUUUGUAAUACAUGCAUGUUUAGAAGUGGAGCCCCUAGAUUACGUUUUAUCGGUGUCUACUCCAUUUGGAAAAAUUAUGUUGUCAAAAGAAAAAAUAAAAGCAUGUCAAGUUGAGAUAGUGAGUCGUGAGUUGGAUGUAACCUUACUAGUACUGGAUAUGCGUGAUUUUGAUAUAAUUUUAGGCAUGGAUUGGCUAGCUGCUAAUCAUGCUAGUAUAGAUUGUAGUCGCAAGGAGGUAGUGUUCAACCCUCUUGCAGAGUUCAGUUUUAAAUUUAAAGGGGUAGGGACUGUGGUAUUGCCUAAAGUAAUCUUAGCUAUGAAAGCCAAUAAGUUACUUAGCAAGGGUACUUGGAGUAUUUUGGCCAGUGUGGUGGAUACUAGAGAAGCUGAGAUUUCCUUGACAUCAGAACCUGUGGUAAGGGAAUACCCUGAUUUUUUUUCUUUCAAAAAAGCUUCAAGGACUUCGGCCUCAUAGGGAGGUUGAUUUUACUAUUGAGCUAGAGCCAGACACCGUUCCCAUUUUGAGAGCCUUGUAUAGAAUGUCUCCAGCGGAACUGAAAGAGCUGAAGGUCUAGUAGCAGGAACUGUUGGAUAAGAGUUUCAUUUGACCUAGUGUGUCACCUUGGAGAGCACAAUUACUUUUUGUGAAGAAAAAAGACGGGUCAAUUCAUCUUUGCAUUGACUAUAGAGAGCUUAAUCAGGUGAUAGUCAAGAACAGGUAUCCCUUGCCCAAAAUUGAUGGUUUGUUUGAUCAGCUGCAGGGAGCCACUAUAUUCUUUAAGAUUGAUUUACGCUUAGGCUAUCGCUAGUUGAGGAUUAGAGACAAUGAUAUUCCUAAGGCUGCAUUUCAUUCGAGAUAUGGACAUUAUGAAUUCAAUGUAAUGUUUUUUCAUUUGACAAACGCUCCUACCGUAUUUAUGGAUUUGAUGAACAAAGUGUUUAAGGAUUUCUUAGACACUUUUGUAAUAGUUUUUAUUGAUAAUAUCUUGGUUUACUCCAAGACAGAGGCCGAGCAUGAGGAGCAUUUGUGAAAGAUUUUGGAGACUCUUCGAACCAAUAAACUUUAUGCUAAGUUUUCAAAAUGUGAAUUUUGGCUGAAACAGGCGACUUUUCUUGGCCAUGUAGUAUUUAGUGAGGGAGUUUUUGUGGACCCAACAAAGAUUGAAGAUGUUACUAGUUGGCCUCGACCUUCCACAGUCAGUGAGGUUCGUAGCUUUUUGGGUUUAACAGGAUAUUAUCAGAGGUUUAUGGAGGAAUUUUUUCGUAUAACUACUCCUUUGACCGAGUUGACCAGGAAAGGGACUCAUUUGUUUGGAGCCCAGCAUGUGAGAGCGGUUUCCAAGAUCUUAAGCAAAAUCCUGUUACUACACCGGUCCUUACAGUGCUACAUGGAUUUGAAAGUUUUGUGAUUUAUAGUGAGACCUCUAAGAAGGGACUGAGUUAUGUCUUGAUGUAACAAGGUAAGGUGGUUGCUUAUGCCUCUUGUUAGUUGAAGAGUCACAAGUAGAACUACCCUACACAUGAUUUGGAGUUGGCAGCAAUUGUUUUUGCACUUAAGGUUUGGAGGCAUUAUUUGUAUAGUGAGAAGAUACAGAUCUUUACUGACCAUAAGAGCCUGAAAUACUUCUUCACUCAGAAGGAGUUAAAUAUGAGAGAGUGAAGGUGGCUUGAGUUAGUAAAGGAUUAUAACUGUGAGAUAUUGUAUCAUCCAUGUAAGAUGAAUGUGGUAGUUGAUGCUCUUAGUAGAAAAGUAUCACAUUCAGUAGCACUAACCAGAUAGACCCCAUUACACUAAAACUUUGAGAGAGCUGAGAUUGUAGUAUCAGUAGGGGCAGUCACCUUACAGCUAGCUCAGUUAACAGUGCAAUCGACUUUGAGCCAGAAGAUUAUUGUUGCUCAGCGUAAUGAUCCUUAUUUGGUUGAGAAGCGUCGCCUUGUAAAAAUAGGGGAAGCUUAUGCAUUUUCCAUAUCCUCUGAUGGUGGCUUUUGUUUGAGAGGUGUUUGUGUGUGUCAAUAGACAUUGUCGUUAAGAUUGAUCUGUUGAAUGAAGCUCAUAAUUUCCCAUUUUCCAUGUACUAGGAUCUGAAAUGAGUAUAUUGGUGGCGUAAUAUGAAGAGAGAAAUGGUAAAUUUUGUUAGUAAGUGCUUGAUGUGCCAACAGGUUAAAGCACCAGGACAGAACUAGCAUGUUUGUUGCAACCUUUGAGUGUGCCAAAGUGGAAGUGGGAGAAUUUAUCUAUGGAUUUUAUUAUAGGAUUGCCUAGAACAAGAGUUAUAUAGUGAUUUGGGUUGUUGUCGAUAAACUUACGAAAUCAAUGCAUUUCAUCCCAAGGAAAUCCACUUAUAUUGCUAGUAAGUGGGCACAAUUAUAUUUGACUGAGAUUGUGAGACUGCAUGGAGUGCUCGUAUUGGUUGUUUCUGAUAGAGAUGCCCAUUUUAUUUCCAUGUUCUAUAAGGGACUUCAGACUGCCAUGAGCAUGAGGUUAGAUUUCAGUACAACUUUUUACCCAUAUACUGAUGAUCAAACUAAGCGUUUGAACCAAAUUUUAGAGGAUAUGCUACGAGCUUGUGCAUUAGAGUUUCCAAGUAGUUGAGACUUUCACUUGCAUUUGAUAGAGUUUGCAUACAAUAAUAGUUUUCAGGCUACCAUUGGCAUGACACCGUUUGUGGCCCUGUAUGGUAAAUGUUGUAGAUCUCCUGUUUGUUGGGAUGAAAUUGGUGAGUAGAGAUUGAUGGGUCCUGAAUUAGUUCAGUAUGCUAAUGAGUCUAUAUAGAAGAUUAGAGCACGUAUGCAAAUAGUAUAGAGUAGAUAGAAAAGUUAUGCUGAUGUCAGACGAAAAGAUCUUGAGUUUGAUGUAGGAGAUAAAGUGUUUUUGAAAGUAGUACCUAUGAAGGGUGUUUUACGUUUUGAAAAGAAGGGGAAGUUCAAUCCUCAUUUUGUUAGACCGUUUGAGCUUUUGGAGCGAAUUGGCCCUAUGGUGUAUCAUUUGGCAUUGCCACUAUCACUCUCUGUUGUCCAUAAUGUUUUCCAUGUUUCGAUGUUGAGGAAGUACGUGGCAGGUCCGUCUCACGUAGUGGACUACAAACCAUUGAAAAUUGAUGAGAAUUUGAGCUGUGUAGAGCAACGAGUUAAGAUUAUGCCUAGAGAAGUAAAAAUGUUCGUAACAAAGGAAUUACUUUAGUAAAAGUUUUGUUGCAAAAUCAUCAACCGGAAGGGGCUACAUGAGAGAGAGAAGAUGAUAAGAGAGCUCGUUACCUAGAAUUGUUCUAGGAUUAGAACUUUUGAGGAUGAAAGUUCCUUAUGGAAGGAAGAAUGUAACACCCCAAAACUCGAGAUAUUUAUUCUCAACCUAAAUGUCUUAUUUUAUUAAGAUUAAAAGGAUUCUUUGGUAAGGGAGAGAAAUAAAUUUUUUUUUAAAAGAAAAGAGUUGAAAUAAUAAUUAUAUUACAAUAAUGUUAAUAUGUUAUUAUAAUUAUAAUAUUAUUUAUCUCCUUCUCCUUCACCAUUCUUCCUCGUUCAUGAUUUGUAGACCUAGUCAUUCAUCCGUUCACUUCUCCACUCUUCGAAACCUUAUCGUCGACCGUCUCUAUCUACAUUCACCAUCGAAGCCACCACCAUCGCUCCCCUUUUUGCUUCCUCACAAGUUCGACAGUUAUGCAUCAUAGACGUGAACCAUUUUAGCUAGAUCUGUAUUCGUCUACAAAGUGUCGCCAACACGUUCUUCGGUCGUUGUUUGCAAAGCGCCAGUCGUCUAUUUCUUUGUCGUGUUUUCCCAUCCGAUUCGUCCACCAGAUCCACGUCGCUUGGUCUCCACCUAAGCUAUCUUUGUGAGUCGCGCACGUCAAUCUUCUUUUCCAAAGAGUCACAUUCAGUUCUCUUUUUCUUGUCGUCGUUUAGUUCAUUUCUUGUACCACCAUUUCUGCCUUGCCACGAACCGUUGGGAUUUUUGUGGUAAGUGUGUAUUUGUGGGUUUUAUGGUUCUGCAUUGUAAAUACAUGAAGGUGUGAUGUUAGUUUAAUUGGUUGGAUUAAUGUUGUUUCUUGAAGGUACUUUUGAAGGAUAACGAUCAAAUCCUUGAAUUUUUCAAUAGGUUUGGUUUGGGUUCGAUUCUCCUUCUUUGUGGGUAAGUUAUCAAAUUCACAUUUGGGUGAAUUAAAUAGAUGAAGUGAUUUGAGAAAAUGUUGAUUUCUGUUCAAUUAUGUUUAGGUAGGUUUGUUGCACUUCGGUUUGGUAAAGAAGUUUAAGUAAAGUUAAGGUAAAGGAUUUUCUUCUAUUGAUCCCUACAUCAAAGUUGCAAUGUGUUGACUAAAUUAAGAAGGUUGAAUUAACUGAAUUGAGAAUGUUUGUCUUCUAUGCCCUAGAAUGUGUUAUUGGUUUAGUGUUGACUGAUUUGAGAAGGUUGACUAUUAUGAAUAAGUUUGAGUCUUUAUGUGUUGAACUGAAACGUUGACGAUAGGUAGACUUGUAUUUUCUUGAAUUGACAAUUUGAAUCGUUAGAAUGGAUUGGGGGGAAAUUGUUAGCUUUAUCUCUGGGGUAGUGUACCUUGUAGGUGUCCUACGGGAUCACCACUUGUUGUGCAUCCUUCGAAAGCACUAGACUGAUAUGUGUAUCAUUCGGGAGCACGAGACUGAUAUUACAUCCUUUAGGAGUACUAGACUGAUAUGUGCAUCUUUCGGGGGCACUAGACCGAUUGUGUUCAUCCUACGAAAUCACGAGACUGUUAUGAUGUAGGGUACCUCCCAAUAGGAAGUUAACCAUUUUUACCCAUAACGGGACCAAUAAUGGGUCUCUUACUGGAUAUAUUUUAUACUCACCCUUUAUGUUUAACUUUUACAGGCAAAAGUAAUACAAGGGUAGGCCGACGAGAGACAAGGACACUUGAUCGCCAUAUGGGGACAUUAUGUCAAAAAUGCUUUCGUUUAUUCUUUUUUCUUAAAAAAAUUUAUUAUUAAGAUGAGUUUAUGGUUAGUGACUUUGUAAACAAUACUUUUGAAAUUUUAUUUUGUUUGAAAUAGGGCCAAAAUAAAAUUUCUUUGAUUUCUAUUCGAUUUUUUUUUUUCCAGAUUGAACUUUUACGUUUAAACAAAGUGUCUUUAUGUUAAAAUGAGAAUCUCGGCUUAGAUAGAAAAGUUGGAUUUUUACAGGUCCUGUAGAGAAAACAUGUUCUUUGCAGAACUU